UCCUUCCUUAAUUUUUGCAAGCUUGUCUUAAAUCAUAUGAUUUUGCUACAAGUUUCAACUACAUGAGACAGUGUCUAUAAACCAACUUGACUGACAUGUUUCAUAUAACUUUUUCUGUUUGUCAAUCAUCAAAAUUAUAUCGUACCCAACAGGCAUGUAUCUACAUGUGGUUGAUAUUGAUGAAUUUCUUAUCGUUUUGAAGUAAUGGUCAUGGAAAAGAAGGGGGCCUCUAGAUUUGCUAGUUUAUUUUAUCUAAUUAGUGUUUUGGCAGGAACAUGUAGAAAGUUUGUCUGUAUUAGGAAAAUCUCUCUUCAAGGGGAAACAAUAGUUGGCAUGCAGCUAUUUCUUUUAAUUUGAUAAUUGUGGUGUUUGCCUGUUUUGGGCAAGUUUAUAAGUUCCUCGAUUAAUUUUAUAGAAUAUCUGUCAUCUCUCAUCAACAAUCGAUUAGCAUGUAACCUUAAGCCAUGUGUAAGUUUAAUCCAAGGGUUAUCUUACGAAUGAUAAUAUAAUCUAGUUUCUUUGUUG
rnacentral:lncRNA from 1 species